rnacentral:rRNA from 1 species
CCUACGGGAGGCAGCAGUGAGGAAUAUUGGUCAAUGGACGAGAGUCUGAACCAGCCAAGUAGCGUGAAGGAUGACUGCCCUAUGGGUUGUAAACUUCUUUUAUAUGGGAAUAAAAUGUUCCACGUGUGGGAUUUUGUAUGUACCAUAUGAAUAAGGAUCGGCUAACUCCGUGCCAGCAGCCGCGGUAAUACGGAGGUGCCGAGCGUUAUCCGGAUUUAUUGGGUUUAAAGGGAGCGUAGGUGGAUUGUUAAGUCAGUUGUGAAAGUUUGCGGCUCAACCGUAAAAUUGCAGUUGAAACUGGCAGUCUUGAGUACAGUAGAGGUGGGCGGAAUUCGUGGUGUAGCGGUGAAAUGCUUAGAUAUCACGAAGAACUCCGAUUGCGAAGGCAGUUCACUGGACUGCAACUGACACUGAGGCUCGAAAGUGUGGGUAUCAAACAGGAUUAGAUACCCCAGUAGUC